CGAUAUUUUGAAUAUAAAGAACGCACGCCUUAUACACUAUUUCACACGCCGAACAGACUCCUGCUGCACCAAUAAGUAGAUUGUAAAAAAUUAACUUGGUCGUCGAGCAGGGGGCCCUUCCUAACAGCAGCUCACUUUCCUUCUUUCUAGUACAAUGUCAAUAUCCUACUUUUUUUAUUUUCCAGAUUUCCUUUCCUCCACUCUUUAAUAAUUUCUCUACUGCUAGCUACUAGCUGUAAAUUCUGCCACACGUUUCUACAGAACCUACCAAUGACGCCAUUUUUAUACAAAAUAUACCAUUUACUUUAAUAAAUUAUUAGGAGAGAACCUGGUUGAUUGUCUAUAUACUAUUUAUAAUAUUUUCAAUAGAUUUAUUAUAAUGCAGGUCCUUGUUUAUUUAUAUAUGCCUUGUUUCGACCUGGAAUUUAACUCAAUGAUACUUUCACGUCUUAUAUAAUAUAUGUUGUGUACAAGUUGUAAAUUGUAUAAACAAUAAAAAGUAAAAAAGUUA
rnacentral:lncRNA from 1 species